CUCGUUGAGUGGAGUGAAAACUGAUACACACCCAUGCACCAAAAUCAAAAUGUUGAUUCAAUUCACUAAGAAGUGACACAUAAUGCUCCAGCUGCUGCAAUGAAGAAUGCUUUACUGACAAAGGCUCAAUGCUGCACACAACAAAGUCAAAUACAGAAUCUGCUAUAAUAAUAAUAAGCCCAGAGGGCAUUUGUGUGGUCUGGGGAGCAGAGUCCCGAGCGGUUUGGUUAUGAAAACGAUGCCUGUGCGAGAUAUCUGGGGCUUAAGGCCUCGACUCAAUUGUUUACUGUACACUAAAAAGAAAAGAAAACAGCCUGAGCAGUGGUGCAGAGUGAAAACGAUGAAUUAACAGUGUGAGUCUUAUUUCAGAGCGCCACAUCAUUGUGAUGGAGAUUUAAUAAAAGGAGGAACACACGGACAAAGAAGGAGAAAGGGGGGCCAGCCCUGGACACGAUUGCCUGAGGUAUUAAAGUUCUGUACUAAGUUCUGGUUUCCAGGGUGAGAAAAGUCACGCAGUGCCAGUAGUAGAGUUGGGUUGAGUGAUGAUUCUAAAUUACUGUAAGUAAAUCAUCGUACACCCGUUCAAGUUUCAUGAUAACUAGGAUCUAGACUUUGUUGAACUCUAGGCAAUUUGAGCAGGUAAAACUGGAGUGACCAAGUAGCAGUUGAAUAAAAGUCAUUGAAUAAGUGUUGAGAUAAACUAGCAGAAUUAAGAGAAUUAAAACAUUUCAAGAGCUCAAAUUACUUAAUAUGGAAACGGUUCAAUUUUGUUUCACGAACGCAAAACAUGUAGGUUUAUGAAUAUGAAAAGGUUGAGGUGGUGUUGAUUUGACUCUGUGUAGGUUUAGGUUUGGCAUUUUUACUGAUGGGAGGAAUAUUCAGUGACAAGUCCUAAGACCCGGGCGUUUGUAUUUUUGUUUUUGGUACCUUUCAUUUUAUUUUGUUUUAUAUUUU